rnacentral:rRNA from 1 species
GUGACCUCGGAUCAGGUAGGGAUA